UGCGUAGGCGGCGCUAUAAGUCAGAGGUGAAAGCCCGCAGCUUAACUGUGGAAUUGCCUUUGAUACUGUUAGACUUGAAUCAGGUUGAGGUUGGCGGAAUGUGGCAUGUAGCGGUGAAAUGCAUAGAUAUGCCAUAGAACACCAAUUGCGAAGGCAGCUGACUAGACCUGUAUUGACGCUGAGGCACGAAAGCGUGGGGAGCGAACAGGAUUAGAUACCCUGGUAGUCC
rnacentral:rRNA from 1 species